rnacentral:rRNA from 1 species
GCCGCAUGGCCGCGGGAUUUACGUAGGUGAGACCUGCGGAAGGAUCAUUCGCACAAAGAAAUGUUCUAUUCCACCCGCCACGCACCACACAGUGCUUUCUGUUUUUAAAAAAGGAAAACAUUUUUUCCGUCUCGUCGAUGUUGCGAUCUCAUUGCAAUGUAUGCGAUGUUAUCUAUCUCUUGCGACGACGAAUGCCUUGGCUCGAGGAUCGUUGAAGGACGCAGCGAACUGUGCUAAACAUCUCGAAUUGCAGAUUUCCGAGAAAGAAAAGGAUUCUGAACGCAUUCUGCGAGUUGACCUCGUGUCAGCUCACGUGAUUGGCGGUGACCGAAAUAUGCAGUCGCUCGAACUCCGAAGUUUGAGUGGUUUUCACAUGUUGUCGCAAAUUCUUGCGCCGACGUGUUCGUGGGAUUCAGCGCGUCUCUCGUUUUCGAGCAGCAUUAAGAUUUCAUCUUGGUGUUCGAAUUCAUUGAUGUGUUUUGUUUUUUGAAAACAUUUUUUUCUCGCACGCUCACGACCAGUCACGGGAUUACCCGCUGAAUUUAAGCAUAUCAAU